UACGUAGGGGGCAAGCGUUGUCCGGAAUCAUUGGGCGUAAAGCGCGUGUAGGCGGCUCGAUAAGUCUGCUGUGAAAGUCCAGGGCUCAACCCUGGGAUGCCGGUGGAUACUGUCGAGCUCGAGUCCGGAAGAGGCGAGUGGAAUUCCUGGUGUAGCGGUGAAAUGCGCAGAUAUCAGGAGGAACACCAAUGGUGAAGGCAGCUCGCUGGGACGGUACUGACGCUGAGACGCGAAAGCGUGGGGAGCAAACAGG
rnacentral:rRNA from 1 species